GGUUGUGGCUUAGUGAUUGAGCGCUUGCCUGGAAUGUGUGAGGCCCUGAGUUCAAUCCUCUGGACCA
rnacentral:tRNA from 1 species